rnacentral:rRNA from 1 species
UACGGAGGGUGCAAGCGUUAUCCGGAUUCACUGGGUUUAAAGGGUGCGUAGGUGGGCAGGUAAGUCAGUGGUGAAAUCUCCGGGCUUAACUCGGAAACUGCCAUUGAUACUAUCUGUCUUGAAUACCGUGGAGGUUAGCGGAAUAUGUCAUGUAGCGGUGAAAUGCUUAGAUAUGACAUAGAACACCAAUUGCGAAGGCAGCUUACUACGGAAUCGAUUGACACUGAGGCACGAAAGCUGGGAGUCAAACAGGAAAUCGAUACCGUGGGUAAGUCAAGCUCCGAUGAUGCCCUACCUGUCCUACCAAGAUAUACCAGCUGAACGACCCCUGACGAAUGGCGCCUAGGACGUGAA